UCAUCUAGCUCAGCCAACAGAGCAUGAGACCCUGAAUCUCAGGGUUGUGGGUUUGAGUCCUACACUGGGCAAAA